rnacentral:tRNA from 1 species
UCGGGAAGUGGCUCAGCUUGGUAGAGCACUUGGUUUGGGACCAAGGGGUCGCAGGUUCGAAUCCUGUCUUCCCGAU